GAAAAGGGGGCAAAGGGAAUAAGAGGGAAGAGGGGUAAUGCUGGCUUUCCUGGAUUUGUUGGAACUUCGGGUGACCAAGGCCCACCAGGACAAAUGCCUUGCAAAAUUGUUGAUUUCACACGUGAAAACUGCCAAAUAAAGUGGAUUGACAGCAUGCCAUCUCAACGAUGAAGAGAAGCUCCACUGAGCAAUACUGUGCCCCAGGAGAUGUCAUAACUGCACACCUGUGUGCCUACAUCUUGCUGCUUCUUAUCACAAAACAAAGGAGUUUGUUCAAGAGGUAUUUCCAAAUGCCCAGCAUUCCCAACUGAAGUGGCCUUUGCCUUGGACAUGUCAAAUGAUGUCUCCCUGUUGGAUUUUGAGAGGAUGAGAGACAUUUUAUUGUCUCUGUUGAUGAAGAUGGAAAUAAGUGACAGUAACUGCCCAACAGGUGCCCAUGUGGCCAUUGUUUCCUACAAUGCCAAAACCAAUUACUUGGUUCGUUUCUCAGACUACAAGGGG
rnacentral:lncRNA from 1 species